GCUCACUUUAUCAGAGCAUAUACUAAAACUGGAAAUAUAGAGAGAUUAGCAUGAUCUCUUCACAAAGAUGACAUACAGAUUGCUGAAGCAUUUCAUAAGUUU